rnacentral:tRNA from 2 species
GCUGUUGUAGCUCAGCAGGUAGAGCGCAUCCUUGGUAAGGAUGAGGUCGGCAGUUCGAGUCUGCUCAACAGCUCCA